rnacentral:rRNA from 1 species
AGUGAACGCUGGCGGUAGGCCUAACACAUGCAAGUCGAACGGCAGCACAGUAAGAGCUUGCUCUUACGGGUGGCGAGUGGCGGACGGGUGAGGAAUACAUCGGAAUCUACUUUUUCGUGGGGGAUAACGUAGGGAAACUUACGCUAAUACCGCAUACGACCUACGGGUGAAAGCAGGGGAUCUUCGGACCUUGCGCGAUUGAAUGAGCCGAUGUCGGCUUAGCUAGUUGGCGGGGUAAAGGCCCACCAAGGCGACGAUCCGUAGCUGGUCUGAGAGGAUGAUCAGCCACACUGGAACUGAGACACGGUCCAGACUCCUACGGGAGGAAGCAGUGGGGAAUAUUGGACAAUGGGCGCAAGCCUGAUCCAGCAAUACCGCGUGGGUGAAGAAGGCCUUCGGGUUGUAAAGCCCUUUUGUUGGGAAAGAAAAGCAGCAGGUUAAUACCCCGCUGUUCUGACGGUACCCAAAGAAUAAGCACCGGCUAACUUCGUG